CGUUAUUUCUGAGGGCUCUUAUUUUUAUUAACUGUUGUUAAGAGAACAGGCUGAUGCAACCAGAAAUACUUAGUCUAAUGAUGUUUGGGCAUAUCUUAUGAUGCUGCAAUCUCACUCUUGUUUGUACAGUAUAUUUGAGAGAACAUCUAGCCCCAAUUUCAUAAGGGAACACAUAGAGGAUAUUCAUCACCAUGGUGUUUGAACUAGGGAUUGUCAAAUAUGACCAAUGGGCCAAAUAUGUCCACAGGCAUGUAUUUGUGCACUGUCUAUGGCUGCUUUUAUGGUAUAACAGCAGCAAAAUCCUUAAAACCAAGACUUCAGAACCCCCAAAGCCAAAUAUAUUUACUGUGUCACUCUUUAUAAAAAAUGUUUGCUGACCCCUGGUUUAAAGUAUCAGGGAACAUUAGACAACCUAGAUGUUCCAUUGCAGGGGAAAAGCUAAGGGAACUAUAAUGGACACACAGUAUGGAAUAUUACGUUACUGUUAUAAGACAUUAACUACGUGAGACAUAUACUCAUAAAUGCAGUAAGAUCCGAAUGUAAGGAAGAAAUAAACAGAACCAGUAUACAUGAAUAUACUUUUAUAGAAUUAAAAAUACCUACAUAACAACAACACUAUACAAUUUGCAAAAAUAUACAAAAUAUUAAGGUAUCAUAUCAAAGACAUUAUGGUUGAUAAAAUGAGGAGAGGGGACACAUGAAUAAAAUACACCAUGAGAGAGUCUUUGUAUGAGUCUUACAAUAGAAGUAUGCUAUGAAAUCAGAAGUGUGAUUCACUCAUGCCUCUAUGCCUGAGAUUCAAAAAAUAAAUGUGGAAAAUGCUGAGUACAAUGCUCAGUACACUGUGAUUUUCAAAAAGCAUGCAUUACCAUCAUCAUCAUCAUUAUCAUCAUCAUUAUCACCUUAUUAUUAAUCUUUUGAAAGUGAAACCCUAACCAUGGAGCUAAAAUCAAGAAAGAAGAACAUGCUUAAGACAAUCUUGUUGCAUCAGUGAGCCUAGGAUAAUCGAUUGACCGUCACCCUGUUUAGAAAAACUCUUUAGGGGUCAAAAGAGUUUUAUGACUCCUUUUAUGACUAAAAUCUGUGAAUUGAUUGAUGGAGAGGGUCAAUUGUUUCCUGUCACAGUCACUAUUUGCACUCGUCAAUAUUUCUGUUUCUUUGCCUUCCAGAUUGGCUCUUUAUCCUGGUCUUCCUUUUAGUUGGCCAGAGACUUGUGACUAGUUCUGACUGAGGAGCUGUUAGUGUAAGUGUUGUGUGACCCUUGUGGACCAGGGUAUCAGUUGCUCUUUCUAGACCCUCCAGAACUCUCUAUCCUGCUGGCACUGUGGCUAGCUAUGUCUGCAGUGGUGGUGUCUCUUUAGUCCCUAGAGGACCACAACGACCAGAGCUAAUGCAGUCCAACAAUGGAUGUGUUGAUUGAAAUCACUGAGAUUUGGGGGAUUGGUUGUUACCCAGCAUAGCCUAGCCUAUACACUGACUGACACACCUUCCAAAUUUUCAAAGACCUGGAAGCUUAAAAUUGGAAAGACCCUCAAAUGCCAUGCAAUCAAAACCCCAACAUGGGCAGAGGGAGUGAAUGUUUAGAAAGAGAGGCUCAGCCCUAGUGAUAAAGAGCCCACAUCCUCCUCAAAAGCUCCUGUCCUUUUUCACUCACCUCUUAUCAUUAUUGAGAUUCUUCUGUUUGGAGCCAAAUUUCACCUCCUGGCCACUUUGACUCAUUUAUAUUAGUUCUGCCUUUAUCCCUGUUUCACACAAUAAUUCUUCAGCUAGGGGAGUAUGGUAGUCAGAAGAAUGGUCCCCUAAAAGAUGUCCAUAUCUUAAUUCUUGGAGCCUAUGGAUUUGUUACCUCAAAUGGCAAAAGGGACUUUGCAGAUGUGAUUACAUUACGGGUCUUGAGAUAGAUAGAAGAUUAUCCUGCAUUGAUUGAGAAGGCUCAGUGUAAUCACAAGGGUUCCUAUAAGAGGGAUGCAGGAGGGUUCGAGUGAGAGUAGGAGCUGAGGCAGUGGAAACAGAGGUCAGAGAGAUGCCCCUGCUGGAAGAAACUUUGAGCCAAGGAACCCAGGCUUUCUCUAGAAGCUGAAAAGAAUAGGAACAGAUUCUCUGUACCCCCUCUCUACCAGCACUGAUUUUAGCCCUGGAAGACCCACUUCAUACUUCUCCACAAACUGUAGGAUAUAAAUUUGUGUUGUUUUAAGCCACUAAGCUUGUGGUAAUUUGUUACAAGAGGAAAAGAAAAUUAAUACAGUGAGAUUACCAUGUUUCUUUGAAUUUUCAGUUUCCAGAAGAGUUGCCUUUUGCUACACCUGGUUUCUUUUUCAGUCUGGUCCUCUGAUAUUUUAAAAACUGGUUUCAUCAAUCCAGUUUGUAAAAAUAUGGGAUUUCUAGAACUUUGUUUUUAUUCUGGUUGUGACUUACUUAAGAAAGGAAAUUGUAGCAAAAUUAGCACUGCCUAGAACAGUCACCAAAGCAACACAGACUCUCUAAGCAGUUCAUUGAACUUGGUACCUACCCAGACUCUAAAUAAAUAUUUUUCGUAGUUGAUAUUGCUGCCAUUUAGACAGAUCUCCCCAAUUCCAUAGUCCAUAGUUGUUCAGUUGAUUUAGGGGGAAUUAAGUGUGGAUUUUAUUGAUUCCUUCAGAUUACCAAGUAAGAGUUAGUUAAUUCAUGAGUCAUGUAUUUGGUCAAAACUAACAGCAUUAAUAGUCUGUGUUGGAACUAUUAAUGAGAAUUCAAGAGUCUGACAAAACUUUGUCAGAUUUGAGAAACAGAAGAACCUGCCUUUUUAGGGCAAAACCAUAUUAAUAGCAUUUUUAAAAUAGAUUUGUAUGUUCUAGGGUCCUUAUCGAAUAAAGCACCUAUUGCCUUAUCCAAAUCUCAAAACAAUCAUAUGAAGAAGGGAGUAUUAUUAUUAUUGCCGUUUUUAAAACAACAAAAUGUCAUUAAGGGUUGCUUAAGCAAUUCACCCAGUUUUCACAGCUAGCAAAUGAGGGAGCUGGGCUGAAACCAGGCAGUCUGACUGUGCAGCUGGUGCCUUAAAACCAUGCUACAGAAUCACUCAUAACGUUAUAGCUGUAUGGUCCUUACUGGCCUGUGGCUUAGAUGUGUCUUAUUCCAGGUCCAGAGGCUGCCUGGAGUAUGUGGACACUGUCCUUGGAAAUGAAAUGACUUGUCAGCUCAUUUUUGAUGGAUCACAUUUCUUAGAAUAAGCACAAAAUAUUUUCCAUUUGCUAAGUGAUUUUAUCAUGCCUCUCUGGGCUGGACUUUGGAGGGGAGAGAGGAAACAGGUUUCAUGGUUAAAGCCUGAGACAUACCUUUCAGGCAGUCAUGGGUGAGGGGUUAGUAAUGGGUGACUUCGGCCCCUCUUCAUGCUCACCUGGCACAGGAAACUCUGGGUGGUUUGGCUCCAGCUCUUGAAAACAAGUUCCUUGUUUGCCCUCCUGAGUUGAUGGUCUGGUGGAGAAUUUGUCUGAAGGAAUUUGUUCCAGGAAAGGUCCAGCUGCAUUUGACAGGAAAGGGAGAAAAGAGAGAACGAGGCAUAAAUCUCUGGCCUUCUGCCUCUUGCUUGGGAAUCUGUCCUUUCCAGCCUGCACCCACACCCUUGGAGCCCAAAACCAUGCCAUGCACAUGUAACCAACCAGCUACAUGUGAAGAUCACAUAAAGGUGUUCUUGUCCUGGCUCUAGCUAAGGUUCCAGCUCUCAGUCAGCAUCAAUUGUGGAAGAUGGGAGUGCAUGAGCUUUUAGAUGAUUUCAGUCCCCUGCCUUUGACACCAAGUGGAACUGAGAUGAUCUUUCCACCGAGCCCUAGUCAAACUGCAGAUUCAUGAGCAAAAUAAACACCAUCAUUACUGAAGCAACAUGGCAUGUGGGGUGAUAUGUUGGGGAAGCCAUAGAUAAUCAGAGAAAGCUCCUUUUCUUUGUGAGCAAUAUUAUUUGCAUAGGAGAGAGACAAAGCUGCAUGGACUGGAAACUUCCAUGACCAAAAAAGAUGUCAUUUUCUAAGGGCUUGAGUGGGAGGUGGCCCUGACAGCAUCUGCAUGAGCCAGAGAUGCACUCACACUUUCAUUAUUGCUUGAGGGUGCCAAGAACUGUAGCAGUAAGAGCAGAAGCAGAAAUGAAGAACACGAAGGAUGCUAUGGAGUGAGAGAAAAGUCCAUGCUUGCAAGAAUCCAAAGACACCCUGUGAGGACGCCCCAAAAUACUCGAGGAAGUGUCUUCUCUAGAAAAAAAUUUCACAGGGAGGGAGCAGCUGCCAAGAUCCACACCUUCUUCCCUCCACACCAACUCACUCCAUCAUCUUCAACAACUGCCAACCUAUUCAUCCUGCUUCAGUUGGAAGAGCUAAACUUUUUGUUUAUUUUUGGAUUCAAGAUAAAAUUUUAUUCAAAAGAUGGAAUCCUGUAAUAAAACACUCUUGGAAAAUAAUCUUUAAUUGCAGUUUGCAUAUAAUAUUAUUUCAAAUUGAAUAUGAUACAGACAAAUUAAACGGCUAAUGCCAGUGUUAAAAAAUGCAAGUUUCCUAAAUGUAAUGUAAUUGAGAUAAAGACAGUAUUUGUUAGGCUUGCAAAGAAGAGACUAUUUAAGUAGAAGUAUGAGGUAGGGCUAAGCACAUGGCUUUUGGGGCCAGAAUGCCUGGGCUUAGACCUUAGUGCUGCUAAUUAUUGGCUAUGCAAACUUGGGCAAUCAUUUACACAUUCUGUGCUCUGCAUAUAUGACAUAGAAAUGUUCCUGGUGCUAGUGAUAUCACAUAGCUUUGUUAUGUAAUUUAAUCAAUUACUUGAAGGACUUAGACCAUGCUCAGUGCACAGUAAGCAUUAUAUAAAUAUUAGCUACUGUCAUUACCUUUAAUCAGGUGCUCCUUAUUAGGCUUAAUACUAUGUUCAAAGGUUAAUAUGCAUGAAAUAUUGGAAACAUAUUAAUAUUAUUUGGAGUUUUAUAAUCUACUUUGGCUUUGGGGGAAAUGAAUCACUCAUGAUAUGAAAAUCAAUAAUUCAACUUCUACACAUUUAAAUUCCAUAUAUAUUUUCAGGACACACUAAAUAACACAUUAGAAGCCUUUCUGCUCAAGUAUCUUAGUCAUUUUCUAGACAUAAUUUACAUACAGUAAAGUCCACAAAUCAGUUAUACAGAUGCAGACACCUAUGUAACCACCACUCAGAACACGAGAGAACAUUUCCAGCAACCAAGAAGGCUCCCACCUGCUCCUUCUCAAUCAAUAUCCCUAAAACAGUGAACCCUCUGACCUCUACCCUUUAAUUAGCUUUUCCUGUCCUUAAGGUUCAUAUAAAUGAGCUCAUUCAGUGAGUUCUCUUUGUGUCUGGCUCCUUUUGCUUGGCAAAUCUGUGAGUCCCAUCAAUGUUGUAUGAUAGACUACAAUCAUUUGCUCUAUUCUGUUGAUGGACCUUUGAGUUGCUUCCAGUUUGGGGCUAUUUGAAUUAAACAUUUUUAUAGAUCACGAGGUCAGGAGUUCAAGAACAGCCUGGCCAACAUAGUGAAACCCCGUCUCUACUAAAAAUACAAAAAUUAGCUGGAUGUGGUGACACGUGCCUGUAGUCCCAGCUAUUCAGGAGGCUGAGGCAGGAGAAUCGCUUAAACCCAGGAGGUGGAGGUUGCAGUGAGCCAAGACCACACCAUUGCACUCCAGCCUGGGUGACAGAGUGAGACUCUGUCUCAAAAAAACAAAACAAAACAAAACAACAUUUUUGAGCAUUUUUGUACGUGUCUUCUGAUGAAUACACAACUUGCAUCUCUUGAGGAGGGAGAUUUCUGAAUCAUAAUGUAGGCUUUUGUUUAGCACAACAGCCCACCAGUUUUUCUUUGCAUUUCGUAAGGCAAGUUGCACCAUUCUUGUCCCAGAUUGGAGGCCAACUUUUCUUCAGCAAUGUGGCAGGGUGGCCUGUACUAUGGGUGUAUUAGCCUGUUCUCAUGCUGCUAACAAAGACAUACCUGAGACUGGGUAAUUUAUAAAGGAAAGAGGUUUAAUUGACUCACAGCUCCACAUGGCUGGGGAUUCUCACAAUCAUGGCGGAAGGCAAAUGAGGAGCAAAGUCAUGUCUUACAUGGCAGCAGGCAAGAGGCCAUGUGCAGGGGAACUCCCCUUUAUAAAACCAUUGGAUCUCAUGAGACUUAUUGACUAUCACAAGAAUGGUGUGGGAAAGAGCCACCCCCAUGAUUCAAUUACCUCCCACUGGGUCCUUCCCAUGACACAUGGGAAUUAUGGGAGCUACAAUUUAAGAUGAGAUUUGGGUGGGGACACAGCCAAACCAUAUCAGUGGGCAAGUUCAAUAAGCAAUGAAUGCUUAAGUACCCACCAGAGCACUGAAGCCACAGAGGUAGGAGGACCAAGAAUAGGCAUCUUGGCUGGUGACACUCAGACGUCAAGAUCCAAAUCUACAGUUUCUAUAGAGGAAAGCUUCCACUGGCAGCCAGGCCCCUGCCUUCAGGGAUGCCUCAGGCCCUGAGAGUUCACCUCUUUCUCCUGGCAAUGUCAAGUUCCACAUUUCUGAGCCAGGCAGAGGAAAUUAUUUGUGAAUUUAUGACAGAGAAAAUAUUCUUUAAACAGAAUCUUCCCUGAUUAUUGGAGCAAAUUUGGCUGCUAGGAACUGCUUCUCCCUAUUAGCUCAUUGGGAACAGAGGGGAGAGCCUCUCACUCUGCUUAACCCCCUAUGGCUCUGUUCCUUGCCAGAGAAGGGGCCCAAUAAAUGCUUGACAAGUUAAAUGGAAAUGAUUUUUCCCCUUUUAAAUGUCUCCUCACUAUGGCAUGUCAUUUAUACAGGACGAAGCUUUUAUUACAUUCAUCCUCUUUCCUCCUACCUAAUCCUCUUGUCUUUCAUCCUCCAUCCACCUGUCCUAUUGCAUUUGGGACUCAACAUGUGACAUGGAAUAAUAGUGGUUAAAGCAUUAGUUUAAGGGCCAAAAUGCCCAUGUUCAAACCCUGUUCUGCCCCAUAAUAGCCACUAGAUCUUUAUCAAAUAACUGUACUAUAUCACAAUUUUUUGUGUAAAUAAAUAAGUUAAUAUAUAUAGAAGUGCUUAGAAUUAUGCUGGGUUAAGGCCUACAUAAGUGUUACCAAAUAUUAUGUGAGAACCUACAGGGGAAAAAAAAGAAGGGAACCUCUGUUUAGCCAGAGUUCCUCCUCUAUAGAGGUCUUCUACUCUGAAAACAUCACCCUUAAUUAUUCCCAAAACAGUCUGCAAUAGUGAAGGAUACCAACCAGUAAUCCCUCAUGUCUAAUUAUACCCUUAAAACUUGCAAGCACCUUAUAUUCAGAAUAUAUUUGAAUGCUUACAGAAACCUUUUGAAAAAGAAGAAGAGGUAGUAUCCCUAUUUUGCAGGAACUAAAGUUCUUGGGCUUUCUAUCAUGCAACCAUCUAAUCACUCAUUCACCCAUUCACUGAUAUAGAGAUUGUGUUAAGCCCCUCCCAAUCCCAGUCCCCAUCCCCCGCACACUGUGUGCUACACCCAGUUCUCCUGCCUGGUCAGCCAGAGCCCAGGUCUUCUAAUAGCCAUCCUGCUCUAGUCCUACCCACCAGACCCCAGCCCUCUGUGAGCUUUUAUUCGACUACUCACUUCUCCAUCUCUCUUUUCUACCUCUUCCUCAUCCAGACUUUCAUCACCUGAACAUCACAUUCACUGCAUUUAAGUUGAAUGGCUUCCUAACUUAAUAACUUACAUAAAAAUUAUGCAUUUUAUUGUAUACUAUGUGUUUAAUAUUUAGCAGAAAGAAUAACAGAUAGAAAAAAUGAAAGAGUAAAUGAAAAUACAGAUAUACAAUAAAUGAAAAAGAGAGUCUAUAUUUUACCACUCUGGAUAAUUGCUAUAUCUCUAGAGCAGAUAUGUAUAUGUGUAUGUAUAAAUUUUAACAAAAUUGGUAUUGGAAUACACAUAACAUUUUAAAACAUACUUGUAAACUUUAAUAUCUAUCUUUCCAUGUCAAUACAUAUUUAUCAACCAAAUCAAUUUUAAUUGACUGGACAAUGUUGCACAGUAUAGAUAUCCAUUGCUUAAUUUGACCUGUUAUUGAACAGUAGGUUAUUUCCUUUUAUAGAAAUGUUUUGCUAGUAUAAACAAUGCUAAGAUAAACAUCCUUGUAUAUACUUUUAUGUUCAUAUCCUUAAUGAUGUACUUUAAAUAAAUUCUAACUGGUGACACUGCAGUCUUAUUUUUAACACUUUUGAUAGCUUUUGUAACACUGUCCUUCAGAAAGACUAUGCUAGUAAAAGGGUACCCACCACAUGCCAGCACUAGUAAGUAUUAUGUAAAACAAAUAAAAAUAAAAACUAGGCCAG
rnacentral:lncRNA from 10 species